CUGCUGAGGCGGCAUUCUCGGUACUCCGCGGAAAUCACAGCGGAAAGCGAGCAAGUAUCUGGCACUUUGCACAGCACCGGAUUGCAAACACAUUUUAUCCAGUCUGCUUUAUCAGAGUUUCAGGCAGCUCUGAAGAUCUCCUCCUGUUGUGCUGCGCUAUUUGCCAAGGCAGGCAGAGCCCCUGAGACUCUCUAGGAGCCCUUUGGUUUCCAGGGGUGGCAGAGAACUGAAUGUCCCUCAAGGCAUCGGAAAUAGCGUGGCUCAAGACGUUGCAGGCAAUCUUUGCUGAGCGUGCUCUUCCCGGGUUGGAAGCUAUGGGCUUGGCCGUGCCUGAGAACCUGAGCAGACCCCAGACGAGCAUGCUAAAGGGCUCCUCACGAUCCUCAGUUUGCUGUCUGCAGAAGGGCUCGCCCCGGGCUGUGUUGGGGUACUUAAUUCACUUUUCGUCUUGUGCGUGAAAACGGCUCCAAGAGAUUCUCCUCCUGCGGCAAGAGAUCUGGAAAGGUCUGAAAGUUUUCAGAGACUCAGCAGUGAAGGUCAUAAGAGGGACUGGAGUUUUGGCCCAUGCAUCUGCUCACUGAAACUCGGUCAUCUCAUAUCGAGGACAACAAACCAGCACCAGUCUGCAAGAGCACGGCAACGCAGAACCCAGAAAGAUCGUUUUUUAUUAUAUGAGCAGAAGCUUUUGGCUGCUCGGGAGUUCUCCUCUCUGUUGCAUGUGAAACUGCUGCAAAGGUACCAAAGCCAUAUUUUCUAUGGUUAUAGUCAAUUUACCUCCUAUAUCCAAAAAGUAAUGACAAUCAGAUGCAGCUGA
rnacentral:lncRNA from 1 species